rnacentral:rRNA from 1 species
AGAGUUUGAUCCUGGCUCAGGAUGAACGCUGGCGGCGUGCCUAAUACAUGCAAGUCGGACGGAGCGCUUCGGCGCUCAGUGGCGAACGGGUGAGUAGCACAUGGGCAACCUGCCCUUCAGAGGGGGACAACAGCUGGAAACGGCUGCUAAGACCGCAUAGGCGCGGACGGGACAUCCCGUCCACGUUAAACGUCCUUUCGGGGACGGCUGAAGGAUGGGCCUGUGGCGCAUUAGCUUGUUGGCGGGGCAACGGCCCACCAAGGCGACGAUGCGUAGCCGGCCUGAGAGGGCGGACGGCCACACUGGGACUGAGACACGGCCCAGACUCCUACGGGAGGCAGCAGUAGGGAAUUUUCGGCAAUGGGGGGAACCCUGACCGAGCAACGCCGCGUGAACGAGGAAGGCCUUCGGGUCGUAAAGUUCUGUUGCGAAGGAAGAACGCCGGAGGGAGGAAAUGACCUCCGGGUGACGGUACUUCGCGAGAAAGCCACGGCUAACUACGUGCCAGCAGCCGCGGUAAUACGUAGGUGGCGAGCGUUAUCCGGAAUCAUUGGGCGUAAAGAGGGAGCAGGCGGCCGUGAGGGUCUGUGGUAAAAGACUGAAGCUCAACUUCAGUGAGCCAUGGAAACCGGACGGCUGGAGUGCGGCAGAGGAUCGUGGAAUUCCAUGUGUAGCGGUGAAAUGCGUAGAUAUAUGGAGGAACACCAGUGGCGAAGGCGACGGUCUGGGCCUGCACUGACGCUCAUUCCCGAAAGCGUGGGGAGCAAAUAGGAUUAGAUACCCUAGUAGUCCACGCCGUAAACGAUCGAUACCAGGUGUCGGGGGAGAAGCCCCCGGUGCCGGAGUCAACGCAUUAAGUAUCGCGCCUGAGUAGUACGUUCGCAAGAAUGAAACUCAAAGGAAUUGACGGGG